GUGAAAUUUGUAUAAAGAAAUAAAUUUUCUUAUUUAUAUUGGGAGGAAUUUAAAAGCAAAGAUUAAAAACCAGGAUUAGAUACCCUGUUAUUCUUUAGGAUUUUUUUAUGGGGUAGUAAAAGUCGUCCUUCAAACCCAAAGAUUUUGGCGGCAUUCUAACUAAAUAGAGGAGCUUGUCUCAUGAUCGAUAGUCCCCGUUAUAUCUUACCCAUACUAGUUUAGUUUGUAUACCUCCGUUGUCAGAUUACUCUAAAAGGAUGUUUUCAAUAAAAAUUAUUUUUUUACUUCAGGUCAAGGUGCAACUUAUGUAAGGGCGACGAUGAGCUACAAUUCUUUUAAGAAUUACGGAUAUUAAAGUUAAAACUUAGUUGAAGGUGGAUUUAUUAGUAAAUCGAUUUAAGGAAAAUCAGUUGAACUAGGCAAUAGCAUGUGUACAUAUCGCCCGUCACUCUCCUCUUAAAAGGAGAUAA
rnacentral:rRNA from 1 species